rnacentral:rRNA from 1 species
GAUGAACGCUGACAGAAUGCUUAACACAUGCAAGUCGACUCGAGUCUUCGGACUUGGGUGGCGCACGGGUGAGUAACGCGUAAAGAACUUGCCUCUUAGACCGGGACAACAUCUGGAAACGGAUGCUAAUAUCGGAUAUUAUGGUUUUUUCGCAUGGAGGAAUCAUGAAAGCUAGAUGCGCUAAGAGAGAGCUUUGCGUCCCAUUAGCUAGUUGGUGAGGUAACGGCCCACCAAGGCAAUGAUGGGUAGCCGGCCUGAGAGGGUGAACGGCCACAAGGGGACUGAGACACGGCCCUUACUCCUACGGGAGGCAGCAGUGGGGAAUAUUGGACAAUGGACCACAAGUCUGAUCCAGCAAUUCUGUGUGCACGAUGACGUUUUUCGGAAUGUAAAGUGCUUUCAGUCGGGAAGAAGUCAGUGACGGUACCGACAGAAGAAGCGACGGCUAAAUACGUGCCAGCAGCCGCGGUAAUACGUAUGUCACAAGCGUUAUCCGGAUUUAUUGGGCGUAAAGCGCGUCUAGGUGGUUAUGUAAGUCUGAUGUGAAAAUGCAGGGCUCAACUCUGUAUUGCGUUGGAAACUGUGUAACUAGAGUACUGGAGAGGUAAGCGGAACUACAAGUGUAGAGGUGAAAUUCGUAGAUAUUUGUAGGGAUGCCGAUGGGGAAGCCAGCUUACUGGACAGAUACUGACGCUGAAGCGCGAAAGCGUGGGUAGCAAACAGG